UACGUAGGGGGGCAAGCGUUGUCCGGAUUCAUUGGGCGUAAAGAGCGUGUAGGCGGCCAGGUAGGUCGGUUGUGAAAACUGGAGGCUCAACCUUCAGAGGUCGACCGAAACCAUCUGGCUAGAGUCCGGGAGAGGAGAGUGGAAUUCCUGGUGUAGCGGUGAAAUGCGCAGAUAUCAGGAAGAACACCCGUGGCGAAAGCGGCUCUCUGGAACGGUACUGGACGCUGAGACGCGAAAGCGUGGGGAGCGAACAGG
rnacentral:rRNA from 1 species